UACGUAGGGGGCAAGCGUUGUCCGGAUUUAUUGGGCGUAAAGAGCGUGUAGGCGGCCAUACAGGUCCGUUGUGAAAACUGGAGGCUUAACCUCCAGACGUCGAUGGAAACCGUAUGGCUAGAGUCCGGAAGAGGAGAGUGGAAUUCCUGGUGUAGCGGUGAAAUGCGCAGAUAUCAGGAAGAACACCCGUGGCGAAGGCGGCAUCCUGGACCGGCAUUGACGCUGAGUGAGCGAAAGCCAGGGGAGCAAACGGG
rnacentral:rRNA from 1 species